AGCAGCCGCGGUAAUUCCAGCUCCAAUAGCGUAUAUUAAAGUUGUUGCAGUUAAAAAGCUCGUAGUUGAAUUUCGGGACCAAUCUGCCGGUCGUGCCUCCGGUAUGCACUGGUUUUAUUGGUUUCUCCCUUCUGACGAAUCAUGAUGUCAUUAAUUUGGUGUCAUGGGGAAUCAGGACUGUUACUUUGAAAAAAUUAGAGUGUUUAAAGCAGGCUCACGCUUGAAUACAUUAGCAUGGAAUAAUGAAAUAGGGCGUUUGACCCUAUUUUGUUGGUUUCUAGGAUCGACGUAAUGAUUAAUAGGGAUAGUUGGGGGCAUUAGUAUUCAAUUGUCAGAGGUGAAAUUCUUGGAUUUAUUGAAGACUAACUACUGCGAAAGCAUUUGCCAAGGAUGUUUUCAUUAAUCAAGAACGAAAGUUAGGGGAUCGAAGACGAUCAGAUACCGUCGUAGUCUUAACCAUAAACUAUGCCGACUAGGGAUCGGAUGAUGUUAUUUUUUAAUGACUCAUUCGGCACCUUAC
rnacentral:rRNA from 1 species